UACGUAGGGCGCAAGCGUUAUCCGGAAUUAUUGGGCGUAAAGAGCUCGUAGGCGGUUUGUCGCGUCUGCCGUGAAAGUCCGGGGCUCAACUCCGGAUCUGCGGUGGGUACGGGCAGACUAGAGUGAUGUAGGGGAGACUGGAAUUCCUGGUGUAGCGGUGAAAUGCGCAGAUAUCAGGAGGAACACCGAUGGCGAAGGCGGGUCUCUGGGCCGUUACUGACGCUGAGGAGCGAAAGCGUGGGGAGCGAACAGG
rnacentral:rRNA from 1 species